rnacentral:rRNA from 1 species
UACGUAGGGACCGAGCGUUGUCCGGAAUCAUUGGGCGUAAAGAGCGUGUAGGCGGCUAUUUAAGUCCUGCGUGAAAUCCUGCGGCUCAACCGCAGACGGUCGUGGGAAACUGGAUGGCUAGAGUGCGGGAGAGGAGAGUGGAAUUCCCGGUGUAGCGGUGAAAUGCGCAGAUAUCGGGAAGAACACCCGUGGCGAAGGCGGCUCACUGGACUGGUAUUGACGCUGAGGUGCGAAAGCGUGGGGAGCAAACAGG